GUGUGCCUCAUUCCUGCUACGGAGAGACCACUUCCAUAGAAAUGAGAGGGGAGUUGAGUCUCCAUAACCUGUUCAGUUCUUGGCAAGACUGCAAAGGCGGCGAGCAAUUAGUGACAAAUGUGACAUGGAAACGUGCCCAUCGUUAUUUUUCCCCUCACUAUCCUGUUGGAGCCUUCCACAUUACAACUCUCCCACCAUCUCUGUCGAAAUGGCCGUCCUUCCAGGAUGUAAUUCCUAGCCGGACAAUGAUUCUCCUUAAACCACCUGGAGGGUCAACACUUUUCAGUCCUCCAUCCCAACCUGCAAGCUGAGUGCAGCCUCUGCAGCAUCCCUAGUCUGCAGGCUAAGAGAUCACAGAGUCUACAGCUAGAGAACUGAACUACAUUUUGAGAACUUUCAACGCAAAUCAAAACAGUUACUGCAGCUUUAGCAAUGAUACAGACUCUUCACCUUAUCCAGCAAGCUUCCCUAAAAGGCAAACACUGACAGCGUUAAUCUCUGAGCUGCAGGACCGGCACAAAAUAAUGUCCUUCUGCUCCCUCUGCUGUUUCUGCUACUGCAACAUGCAAAGAAGCCGUAAUUCAGAAGCUGUACACAUUCUUUUGGACACUGCCACAGACACUGGUGAAUAAACAAAAAAAUUGCAUCAUGUUUCUUCAGUAGAACAGAGGAACUCAGGAGAAAUCAAUAUUUUUCAAAAGUAAAAAGAGAAAAAUGUUUUUUUUAAAAAAAAGCCAACCACACAUAGCUGAGAAAAAAGCAAUUGGCUGCGUCUCUCCAAAGAGUGACCCAGGUAUACAGGAUCUGCAACAUUUCUACAAUCAAGGAUCCACCCUCAGGAGUACACUGAUUCAUUCUUUUCUCUGUUCAAGUACAUCAGUAAAAUUUAAUUCAGCAGGAGUUCUAAAUUUUGUUAUUGUUAUUUAAUCAAUGCUGUUAUCGUGCUAGGAAAUAUAUAAACACAAUUGUUGAAAAAAUGUCCAGUAAGGAUUAAUAAUACCUAACACAAAAUCUGCUCUGUUUAAAUACAAGCUGUAGGUAAUGUUUUUCCUAAUUUUUAAAUACAGAUUGUUCCCCUGACUCUCCCCACAAAUUGAAAAUAUAAUCAGCACCAUCAGAAGAAAUAUGAUAUGCAAGAAGAAAAGAAUAAUGUAAGAAGUGGUUGAAAGAUCUAUAUAUAAUAAAUAAUAAUGUUUAAGGACAACUUACCAAACGGGUUAAGAACUUAAAAUUCUAAGCCUAUCACCAGCAAGAGGAAACACUAAGUUCAAUUUCUCGCUAAGUGGGAUUCCCCUACAUCACAUGUUUGUUUUUUCAUUACAAGCAGCAUGCCUACUUUUUUGCCUUUGUUUUGCACUGCUUUCUUUUAAUCCUUGUACUAGGCACAAUACCAAACCAUGAAGAGACCUUUCUUGUCCCAAGCAUUCUUCUUUGAGUGCAUAUCAACUAUAAAAUCUGAUACGGGAUUAUGGUUAAUAACCUAAACAGUAUUUUAAUGCUCAGAAUAAAAAAAGCCACAUUUUAUUGAGAAGGCUACUCAGAAAUAUAAUGGGCAACUCCGAUUUUUUGAAAGUACUAUUUUUCUCUAUAUUAGUUUGCUGUUAUUUUAAAUGUAACACCUAUAAACAUGGAGACAGGUUUCAGAGUGAUAGCCCUGUUAGUCUGUAUCAGCAAAAACAAUCAUGCAUCCGAUGAACAAUCAUGCAUCUGAUGUAGUGUGUUCUAGCCCACGAAAGCUUAUGCCCAAAUAAAUUUGUUAGUCUCUAAUGUGCCACAAGGACUCCUUGUUGUUUUUACCUAUAAACAUGAGCACAUUGAUUUUCUUACUCAGUAUUUCAGAGCCUGAUUUGGGUUUGUGCAUAUAUAGGGAUAACUGAAUAUCUGAAGAUAUCCAUGAUCAAUACUCAUCUGUUUAAAGUAAGCAAGAAAACCAGGUUGCAGACUGCCUACUUUCUUUU